rnacentral:rRNA from 1 species
GGCCCCAUGGUCUAAAAACAAAAUAGUAUACAAGGUAUGGGGUUUGGCCUGCUCUAUGACAUAGUUUAAUGGCCGCGGUAUUUUGACCGUGCAAAGGUAGCAUAAUCAUUAGUCCUUUAAUUGGGGUCUGGGAUGAAGGGUUGGACGAGGGAGAGACUGUCUAGGUUUAGAUUCUUGAAAUUUACUUUUUAGUGAAAAGGCUAAAAUUGUCCUGGGGGACGAUAAGACCCUAUAGAUCUUUACAGUUUGCGGGGUUUAAUAGAGAUACUGUAAGUUGUUUUGUUGGGGUGAUGGAGAGAUACAGUAACCUCUCUUAAGGAAAGAGUGCGUAUGGGCAUUUGGUAGAUCCGUGGUUGAACGAUAAGUGGAUUAAGUUACCUUAGGGAUAACAGCGUAAUUCUUCUUGAGAGUUCUUAUCGACAGGAGAGUUUGCGACCUCGAUGUUGGAUUAAGAUGUCUUGACGGUGUAGAAGCUGGUCAGAGAAAGUCUGUUCGACUUUUAAUAUCUUACA